GCACUUCUGACGAGUCCUAACCAGGACGAAACAGCCGUCCCGUGC
rnacentral:hammerhead_ribozyme from 1 species